rnacentral:rRNA from 1 species
GACGAACGCUGGCGGCGUGCCUAAUACAUGCAAGUCGAACGAAGCUGUUUUAACUGGUGCUUGCACCGACUUAAACAACUGAGUGGCGAACGGGUGAGUAACACGUGGGUAACCUGCCCCAAAGCGGGGGAUAACAUUUGGAAACAGAUGCUAAUACCGCAUAACCACAGAAACCACAUGGUUUCUGUGUCAAAGAUGGUUUCGGCUAUCACUUUGGGAUGGACCCGCGGCGUAUUAGCUAGUUGGUAAGGUAAUGGCUUACCAAGGAAAUGAUACGUAGCCGAACUGAGAGGUGGAUCGGCCACAUUGGGACUGAGACACGGCCCAAACGCCUACGGGAGGCAGCAGAAGGGAAUCUUCCACAAUGACGAAAGUCUGAUGGAGCAACGCCGCGUGAGUGAAGAAGGUUUUCGGAUCGUAAAACUCUGUUGUCAGAGAAGAACGUGUGCGAGAGUAACUGUUCGUGCAGUGACGGUAUCUGGCCAGAAAGCCACGGCUAACUACGUGCCAGCCGCCGCAGUAA